rnacentral:rRNA from 1 species
GGGGAAUUUUCCGCAAUGGGCGAAAGCCUGACGGAGCAAUACCGCGUGAGGGAGGAAGGCUCUUGGGUCGUAAACCUCUUUUCUCAAGGAAGAAAUUUGACGGUACUUGAGGAAUAAGCAUCGGCUAACUCCGUGCCAGCAGCCGCGGUAAGACGGAGGAUGCAAGCGUUAUCCGGAAUUAUUGGGCGUAAAGGGUCCGCAGGUGGCUAUUCAAGUCUGCUUUCAAAGAGUGGAGCUUAACUCCAUAGAGGGAGUGGAAACUGAGUAGCUAGAGUAAGGAAGGGGUAAGAGGAAUUCCCAGUGUAGCGGUGAAAUGCGUAGAUAUUGGGAAGAACACCAGCAGCGAAGGCGUCUUACUGGUCCUUAACUGACACUGAUGGACGAAAGCUAGGGGAGCGAAAGGGAUUAGAUACCCCUGUAGUCA